GACGAACGCUGGCGGCGUGCUUAACACAUGCAAGUCGAACGAUGAAGCCCAGCUUGCUGGGUGGAUUAGUGGCGAACGGGUGAGUAACACGUGGGCAACCUGCCCCAAACUCUGGGAUAACUCCUCGAAAGAGGUGCUAAUACCGGAUACGAACUAGACAGACAUCUGUACUAGUUGGAAAGUUGUUCGGUUUGGGAUGGGCCCGCGGCCUAUCAGCGUGUUGGUGAGGUAACGGCUCACCAAGGCUACGGCGGGUAACCGGCCUGAGAGGGCGGCCGGUCACACUGGGACUGAGACACGGCCCAGACUCCUACGGGAGGCAGCAGUGGGGAAUCUUCCGCAAUGGACGAAAGUCUGACGGAGCAACGCCGCGUGAGUGAUGAAGGCUUUCGGGUCGUAAAACUCUGUUGUUAGGGAAGAACAAGUGUUAGUUGAAUAAGCUGGCACCUUGACGGUACCUAACCAGAAAGCCACGGCUAACUACGUGCCAGCCGCCGCGGUAA
rnacentral:rRNA from 1 species